rnacentral:rRNA from 1 species
GACGAACGCUGGCGGCGUGCUUAACACAUGCAAGUCGAACGGAAAGGCCCUGCUUUUGUGGGGUGCUCGAGUGGCGAACGGGUGAGUAACACGUGAGUAACCUGCCCUUGACUUUGGGAUAACUUUAGGAAACUGGGGCUAAUACCGGAUAGGAGCUCCUGCUGCAUGGUGGGGGUUGGAAAGUUUCGGCGGUUGGGGAUGGACUCGCGGCUUAUCAGCUUGUUGGUGGGGUAGUGGCUUACCAAGGCUUUGACGGGUAGCCGGCCUGAGAGGGUGACCGGCCACAUUGGGACUGAGAUACGGCCCAGACUCCUACGGGAGGCAGCAGUGGGGAAUAUUGCACAAUGGGCGGAAGCCUGAUGCAGCAACGCCGCGUGCGGGAUGACGGCCUUCGGGUUGUAAACCGCUUUCGCCUGUGACGAAGCGUGAGUGACGGUAAUGGGUAAAGAAGCAACGGCUAACUAUGUG